UUAAUCAAAGCCAAAAAGAGGCUUGCUAUUGUUAAUAGCAAAAUUGAAAAUUUAUUCUGAUUAUU
rnacentral:tRNA from 1 species